rnacentral:rRNA from 1 species
ACUCCCCCGAGCGGCCGGGGACGACGGGCGGGACUUAAGCAUAUCAGUACGCCCAGGAGGAGACACCAACAGGGAUUCCCGGUAGCGGCGAGCGACGCGGGAGGAGCCCGCCCCGAAGGGCCGCUGUGGGGCGUGGCCGAGCCGGGGGGAGAAGUGAGGGGGAGCCCUCCGCCGGAGCGGGUGAGAGCCCCGUCUCCCCGGGCGCGGGCCACGCGGGGAGUAGCGCCGCUUGAGAGUGCAGCGCGAACGGGAGGUGAUGCCCUUCCAAGGCUGAAUACCGGCCCGAGACCGAUAGCGGACCAAGUAGUGCGAACGAACGGUGAAAAGGACGCCCCCGAGGGCCGCUCAAAAGACCUGAACCCGGCUGGCGCCCGAGGGCCCAGGGCGACCUGGCCGUCGGGCCCGUCUCGAAACACGGACCGAGGAGCCGCCCCCCGGCGCGAGUCAGAGGACGGGGUCCUGUGGCGGAGCGACGGCGAGAUCCCCCGGAGCCCUGCGGGGCCGAGCGGCGGGGGGCGGGCCCGAAAGGCGGUGAUCUACGCCCGGCCAGGGCGAAGCCAGGCGAAAGCCUGGUGGAGGCCCGCCGCGGUGCUGACGUGCAAAUCGCUCGUCCGAGCCGGGCGUGGGGGCGAAAGACUCAUCGAACCGCCUGGUAGCUGGUUGCCUCCGAAAUUUCUCCCAGGAUAGCCGCCACCCGGCAGCUGCGGCCGGUAGGGCCGCGACCGGCGGGAGCGGGGGACCUGUCCCUCGUCCGCCCCUCGAACUCCGAACGGCCGCGCCACGGGGCCGCUUGGCUGGGCGCCGUGGGGCAGUGCGGGUGGCGUGUGGGCCUCUCCUGGUAAGCAGGACGGGCGAGACGGGAUGAUCCGGAAGCCGGGCCAGAGUGCGGGACCCAGGCGGAGCGAAACGGCGUCGGUCGGUCCUGACAGCUGGAAGGUGGCCCUAGUAGUCGGAAUCCUCCAAGGAGUGUGUAACAACCCACCAGCCGAAUCGACGGGCCCGGAAAAUGGAACGCACGCGAGCCUGGGACUCACGCCCGGCCGCCACGCGUGGCGGUAGGAGGCCGCGGCGCUCGGGUCGAAGGCGGGGGGCGACCCGCGCUGGACCGGGCGCCGGUGCAGAUCUCGGUAGCAGUAGCCACUACUCCGUCACCCGGAGGCCUGGGUGGAGAAGGGUUCCGUGGCGCCCGGCGUGGACCACGGGUGACUCGGCCCUAAGCGCGUGGUGUCGACCAGAGGACGUACCCCCGUACGCCCGUCGAAAGGGGAACCGGCGAAGACUCCGGUAGAGCGCAGGAUCGCCGGCGACGCGUCCGCCCGAGCACGUGCACGGGCCAGGCGAUGGGAGCCGCCGCGUCCCAGCCCCCGCUCCCGCGUGCCCCCGAGACCUUGCGUGGCGCCGGGGCACGGGAGCGUCUCGCCGCGGCCCGGUCACCCCUGAAACCUCGGGCGGGGCGUGCUGCGCUGCCGUACCCACCGCAGCAGGACUCCGAGGUGAGCAGCCUCUGGGCGGGAGAGACCGUGACUCAGGGAAGUCGGCAAGUUAGCUCCGUAACCUCGGGAUAAGGAGUGGCUCUGAUCCGCCGGACUCAGAACUGGAACGGACUCGGGGAUCCCGACUGUCUAAUAGCAACACAGCGUCGUGCGAGUCCUGAUCGAUGCGGACACGACGUGAUUUCUGCCCAGUGCCACGACCGUCACCGUGAAGAGGUUCACCCAAGCCCUGGUAAACGGCGGGAGUAACUAUGACUCUCUUAAGGUAGCCAAAUGCCUCGUCGGGUAAUUUCCGACGUGCAUGAAUGGACCAACGAGGAUCCCACUGUCCCGAGUCACGCCUCCGCGAACCUACAGACCCGGGAACGGGCGGGUGCCGGUCGGCGGGGCAAGAAGACCCUUUUGAGCUUGACUCCAGCCCGGCCCUGGGGGGCGGGGUCACCGGCGCACGGUACAGGGGAGGCCGCGCCCAUGAGACACCCUGACGGUGACCACCGCCCCACUUACUCGGUUCGGCGAGGACACGGCCGGGCGGGGAGUUUGGCUGGGGCGGCGCGCCUGCUAGACAGCACCGCAGGCGUCCCACGGGCGAGCUCAGCGAGGACGGAAACCUCCCGUGGAGCAGAAGGGCAAAAGCUCGCCCGACCCGCGCCACCAGUCCCGGCGCGCGGCGAAAGCGCGGCCUACCGAUCCUUCGGCGCUCGGGCAUCGAGGCCGGAGGUGACAGAAAAGUUACCACAGGGAUAACUGGCUUGUGGCCGCCAAGCGCCCGCAGCGACGCGGCUUUUUGAUCCUUCGAUGUCGGCUCUUCCUACCGUCCGCGCGCAUCGGCGCGGAAGCGUCGGAUUGUUCACCCGCUCCAGGGAACGUGAGCUGGGUUUAGACCGUCGUGAGACAGGUUAGUUUUAUCCUACCGACCCCGGGGCGAGAGCACGGCGGGUCAGUACGAGAGGAACGCCCGCCGCGGCGCGCCGGUCUCGCGGUUGCCCGGCAGGGCAGCGCCGCUCCGCCGCGCCCGGGGGCCUAGCGCUGAACGCCUCUAAGCGCGCACCCCGCCUCGGACCCCGUCCGACGCCCCACCCUAGCCCCGCGCACCCCGCGGCGUCGCCGGCCGGGUAGACGACCCGCCGCAGCGCUCCUGUACGCGGCGGAGCCCCGCGCGACCGCCUGAGGAACGCCCCUGCCCGCCGC